UGAUUGUCAAUAGUAAAGUACGCAAGCCUGAAUGGGUCACUGUUAAUUUAUGAGAAAGUGGCGCUACACUAACUUAUUUUUUAAAU